CAGCAGCCACGGUAAUACGGAGGGAGCUAGCGUUAUUCGGAAUUACUGGGCGUAAAGCGCACGUAGGCGGCUUUGUAAGUAAGAGGUGAAAGCCCAGAGCUCAACUCUGGAAUUGCCUUUUAGACUGCAUCGCUUGAAUCAUGGAGAGGUCAGUGGAAUUCCGAGUGUAGAGGUGAAAUUCGUAGAUAUUCGGAAGAACACCAGUGGCGAAGGCGGCUGACUGGACAUGUAUUGACGCUGAGGUGCGAAAGCGUGGGGAGCAAACAGGAUUAGAUACCCCCGUAGUCCCUGUCUCUUAUAC
rnacentral:rRNA from 1 species